UAAAACAAGUUCGGAGAGGUCCGAAAGUCACUGUCCCUAUCUACUAUCUAGCGAAACCACAGCCAAGGGAACGGGCUUGGAAUAAUUAGCGGGGAAAGAAGACCCUUUUGAGCUUGACUCUAAUCUGGCAGUGUAAGGAGACAUAAGAGGUGUAGAAUAAGUGGGAGAUAUUAGACCUCGGUUUGGUAUCGUCAAUGAAAUACCACUACUCUUAUUGUUUCCUUACUUACUUGAUUAAAUGGAACGUGUAUCAUUUCCUAGCCAUUAUACGGAUAUAUUUAUUAUAUCUUAUGGUAUUGGGUUUUGAUGCAAGCUUCUUGAUCAAAGUAUCACGAGUUUGUUAUAUAAUCGCAAACAAAUUCUUUAAUAAAACGAUGCAUUUAUGUAUUUUUGAUUUGAAAAUUUGGUAUAACUCCAAUUACUCAGGUAUGAUCCAAUUCAAGGACAUUGCCAGGUAGGGAGUUUGACUGGGGCGGUACAUCUCUCAAAUAAUAACGGAGGUGUCCCAAGGCCAGCUCAGUGCGGACAGAAACCACACAUAGAGCAAAAGGGCAAAUGCUGACUUGAUCUCGGUGUUCAGUACACACAGGGACAGCAAAAGCUCGGCCUAUCGAUCCUUUUGGUUUAAAGAGUUUUUAACAAGAGGUGUCAGAAAAGUUACCAUAGGGAUAACUGGCUUGUGGCGGCCAAGCGUUCAUAGCGACGUCGCUUUUUGAUCCUUCGAUGUCGGCUCUUCCUAUCAUUGUGAAGCAAAAUUCACCAAGCGUUGGAUUGUUCACCCAUGCAAGGGAACGUGAGCUGGGUUUAGACCGUCGUGAGACAGGUUAGUUUUACCCUACUAAUGACAAAACGUUGUUGCGACAGCAUUCCUGCGUAGUACGAGAGGAACCGCAGGUACGGACCAAUGGCACAAUACUUGUUCGAGCGAACAGUGGUAUGACGCUACGUCCGUUGGAUUAUGCCUGAACGCCUCUAAGGUCGUAUCCGUGCUGGACUGCAAUGAUAAAUAAGGGGC
rnacentral:ncRNA from 1 species